rnacentral:rRNA from 1 species
UUAAGUUAUUAAGGGCGCACGGUGGAUGCCUUGGCACUAGAAGCCGAUGAAGGACGUUACUAACGACGAUAUGCUUUGGGGAGCUGUAAGUAAGCUUUGAUCCAGAGAUUUCCGAAUGGGGAAACCCAGCAUGAGUUAUGUCAUGUUAUCGAUAUGUGAAUACAUAGCAUAUCAGAAGGCACACCCGGAGAACUGAAACAUCUUAGUACCCGGAGGAAGAGAAAGAAAAUUCGAUUCCCUUAGUAGCGGCGAGCGAAACGGGAAGAGCCCAAACCAACAAGCUUGCUUGUUGGGGUUGUAGGACACUCUAUACGGAGUUACAAAGGACGACAUUAGACGAAUCAUCUGGAAAGAUGAAUCAAAGAAGGUAAUAAUCCUGUAGUCGAAAAUGUUGUCUCUCUUGAGUGGAUCCUGAGUACGACGGAGCACGUGAAAUUCCGUCGGAAUCUGGGAGGACCAUCUCCUAAGGCUAAAUACUCUCUAGUGACCGAUAGUGAACCAGUACCGUGAGGGAAAGGUGAAAAGCACCCCGGAAGGGGAGUGAAAUAGAACCUGAAACCGUGUGCUUACAAGUAGUCAGAGCCCGUUAAUGGGUGAUGGCGUGCCUUUUGUAGAAUGAACCGGCGAGUUACGAUUUGAUGCAAGGUUAAGCAGUAAAUGUGGAGCCGUAGCGAAAGCGAGUCUGAAUAGGGCGUUUAGUAUUUGGUCGUAGACCCGAAACCAGGUGAUCUACCCUUGGUCAGGUUGAAGUUCAGGUAACACUGAAUGGAGGACCGAACCGACUUACGUUGAAAAGUGAGCGGAUGAACUGAGGGUAGCGGAGAAAUUCCAAUCGAACCUGGAGAUAGCUGGUUCUCUCCGAAAUAGCUUUAGGGCUAGCCUCAAGUGAUGAUUAUUGGAGGUAGAGCACUGUUUGGACGAGGGGCCCCUCUCGGGUUACCGAAUUCAGACAAACUCCGAAUGCCAAUUAAUUUAACUUGGGAGUCAGAACAUGGGUGAUAAGGUCCGUGUUCGAAAGGGAAACAGCCCAGACCACCAGCUAAGGUCCCAAAAUAUAUGUUAAGUGGAAAAGGAUGUGGCGUUGCCCAGACAACUAGGAUGUUGGCUUAGAAGCAGCCAUCAUUUAAAGAGUGCGUAAUAGCUCACUAGUCGAGUGACACUGCGCCGAAAAUGUACCGGGGCUAAACAUAUUACCGAAGCUGUGGAUUGUCCUUUGGACAAUGGUAGGAGAGCGUUCUAAGGGCGUUGAAGCAUGAUCGUAAGGACAUGUGGAGCGCUUAGAAGUGAGAAUGCCGGUGUGAGUAGCGAAAGACGGGUGAGAAUCCCGUCCACCGAUUGACUAAGGUUUCCAGAGGAAGGCUCGUCCGCUCUGGGUUAGUCGGGUCCUAAGCUGAGGCCGACAGGCGUAGGCGAUGGAUAACAGGUUGAUAUUCCUGUACCACCUAUAAUCGUUUUAAUCGAUGGGGGGACGCAGUAGGAUAGGCGAAGCGUGCGAUUGGAUUGCACGUCUAAGCAGUAAGGCUGAGUAUUAGGCAAAUCCGGUACUCGUUAAGGCUGAGCUGUGAUGGGGAGAAGACAUUGUGUCUUCGAGUCGUUGAUUUCACACUGCCGAGAAAAGCCUCUAGAUAGAAAAUAGGUGCCCGUACCGCAAACCGACACAGGUAGUCAAGAUGAGAAUUCUAAGGUGAGCGAGCGAACUCUCGUUAAGGAACUCGGCAAAAUGACCCCGUAACUUCGGGAGAAGGGGUGCUCUUUAGGGUUAACGCCCAGAAGAGCCGCAGUGAAUAGGCCCAAGCGACUGUUUAUCAAAAACACAGGUCUCUGCUAAACCGUAAGGUGAUGUAUAGGGGCUGACGCCUGCCCGGUGCUGGAAGGUUAAGAGGAGUGGUUAGCUUCUGCGAAGCUACGAAUCGAAGCCCCAGUAAACGGCGGCCGUAACUAUAACGGUCCUAAGGUAGCGAAAUUCCUUGUCGGGUAAGUUCCGACCCGCACGAAAGGCGUAACGAUUUGGGCACUGUCUCAACGAGAGACUCGGUGAAAUCAUAGUACCUGUGAAGAUGCAGGUUACCCGCGACAGGACGGAAAGACCCCGUGGAGCUUUACUUUAGCCUGAUAUUGAAAUUCGGCACAGCUUGUACAGGAUAGGUAGGAGCCUUUGAAACGUGAGCGCUAGCUUACGUGGAGGCGCUGGUGGGAUACUACCCUAGCUGUGUUGGAUUUCUAACCCGCACCACUUAUCGUGGUGGGAGACAGUGUCAGGCGGGCAGUUUGACUGGGGCGGUCGCCUCCUAAAAGGUAACGGAGGCGCUCAAAGGUUCCCUCAGAAUGGUUGGAAAUCAUUCAUAGAGUGUAAAGGCAUAAGGGAGCUUGACUGCGAGACCUACAAGUCGAGCAGGGUCGAAAGACGGACUUAGUGAUCCGGUGGUUCCGCAUGGAAGGGCCAUCGCUCAACGGAUAAAAGCUACCCCGGGGAUAACAGGCUUAUCUCCCCCAAGAGUUCACAUCGACGGGGAGGUUUGGCACCUCGAUGUCGGCUCAUCGCAUCCUGGGGCUGUAGUCGGUCCCAAGGGUUGGGCUGUUCGCCCAUUAAAGCGGUACGCGAGCUGGGUUCAGAACGUCGUGAGACAGUUCGGUCCCUAUCCGUCGUGGGCGUAGGAAAUUUGAGAGGAGCUGUCCUUAGUACGAGAGGACCGGGAUGGACAUACCUCUGGUGUACCAGUUGUCGUGCCAACGGCAUAGCUGGGUAGCUAUGUGUGGACGGGAUAAGUGCUGAAAGCAUCUAAGCAUGAAGCCCCCCUCAAGAUGAGAUUUCCCAACUUCGGUUAUAAGAUCCCUCAAAGAUGAUGAGGUUAAUAGGUUCGAGGUGGAAGCAUGGUGACAUGUGGAGCUGACGAAUACUAAUCGAUCGAAGACUUAAUCAA